rnacentral:rRNA from 1 species
CACGGUAGGGGCUAGCGUUAUCCGGAAUUACUGGGACGUAAAGGGUGCGUAGGUGGUCUUUCAAGCCAGAAGUGAAAGGCUACGGCUCAACCGUAGUAAGCUUUUGGAACUGUAAGGCUUGAGUGCAGGAGAGGGAAGCGGAAUUCCAAGUGUAGCGGUGAAAUGCGUAGAGAUAUGGAGGAACACCAGUGGCGAAGGCGGCUUCCUGGUCUGUAACUGACACUGAGGCGCGAAAGCGUGGGGAGCAAAACAGGAUUAGAUACCCGGGUAGUCCCUGA